ACCCGCUGAACUUAAGCAUAUUACUAAGCGGAGGAAAAGAAAUCAACGAAGAUUGCCUCAGUAGCGGCGAGUGAAGCGGCAAUAGCUCAAGUUUAGAAUCUGUAGUCGUCUCGGCUACCGAAUUGUAAUCUAAAGGAGCCAACAAAAGGGGAAGUUGAGGCAUAAGUUCCUUGGAAUAGGACGUCAAAGAGGGUGAAAACCCCGUAUGCAGCCUUCGCUGAACCGAAUGUUGACUUUCUAAGAGUCGGGUUGUUUGGGAUUGCAGCCCUAAAUGGGAGAUAAACUUCUUCUAAGGCUAAAUAUUUAUGGGAAACCGAUAGCGAACAAGUACUGUGAAGGAAAGGUGAAAAGAACUUUGAAAAGAGGGUUAAAAGACUUGAAAUCGUUGAGAAGGAAGCAGUAGAAGUGGAUUUAUAUUAGCCAUGAAGCAAGCUAUGUGAGGCACCAGCUCGUAGUGGUUUCGGUACGUCAUUGGCUACCCACUACGAUGUAAUGGCACUCUAUGGCGAUUUCAUGGCUAAAGAGCAG
rnacentral:rRNA from 1 species